rnacentral:rRNA from 1 species
GUCGGGGGCGAGCGUUAUCCGGAUUUACUGGGUGUAAAGGGAGCGUAGACGGCGUCGCAAGUCUGAAGUGAAAGCCCGUGGCUCAACCGCGGAACCGCUUUGGAAACUGCGAGGCUGGAGUGCUGGAGAGGUAAGCGGAAUUCCUGGUGUAGCGGUGAAAUGCGUAGAUAUCAGGAGGAACACCGGUGGCGAAGGCGGCUUACUGGACAGUGACUGACGUUGAGGCUCGAAAGCGUGGGGAGCGAA